GCCCCCACCUCGGGGUGCCCUGCGUUGCAGGGCUGAGAUGCGCCAUGCGAACCCGUCGAACCUGAACCGGUUAAGACCGGCGGAGGGAAGGUGGAUGAUAUGUCU
rnacentral:ncRNA from 2 species